rfam:Pisolithus tinctorius Marx 270 unplaced genomic scaffold scaffold_3, whole genome shotgun sequence.
UGCCCCAUGGCUGAGUUGGUUACAGCGUCCGACUGUUACUACACAAACAUCGGAAGGUCGUGAGUUCGAGCCUCACUGGGGCAG